AUGAGGCCACGCGUGCCUACGAGGUGGCGGUGUGGCAUGCCGGACGGCCGAAAAUGGACCUCAACUUCCCAGAGGUCGAGUCCCAGGCGGUGGCGGAGUGGCUCGUGCCGCAAGGCAUCCAGAUGGAGGAGAUGCCCGCGAAGAAGGCGAAGAAGAGACCGGGUUGUCGUCGCUCCUGGCGAGAGCGACGAGGUAGCAAUGGCUCGGUUUGCGCGAGAGCAUCCGCAGUAUGUCCAGGCCAAGCUGGAGCACUACUGGAAGCGCGAUGUCGAGGUGAAAAAGAAGGGGGUGAAGAAUGAGGACGAGGCCGGCCCCUCGACUGUGAUCCCUAUCGAGUCGUCGGAUGAGGACUGGGGUGACUCCUAG
rnacentral:rRNA from 1 species